AGUAAAGUCAGCUAAUUAAGCUCUUGGGCCCAUACCCCAAAUAUGUUGGUUAAACCCCUUCCUUUGCUA
rnacentral:tRNA from 1 species